UAACCCAUGCAUGUUUUUGACAUUUGAAAAAUGGACUGCUCAGUAAUACUCACUUUAUUUUAUGUAAAUUUUUAAUUAACUACGUUAAAGUGUAGAUAAGAUGUUUACAGUAAGAGUGAGACCUAUCAGCUAGUUGUUAAGGUAAUGGCUUAACAAGGCUGUGACGGGUAACGGUAUUACUUUGUAAUAUUCCGGAGAAGGAGCCUGAGAGACGGCUACUAAGUCUAAGGAUUGCAGCAGGGGCGAAACUUGACCUAUGGAUUUUAUCUGAGGCAGUUAUGGGAAGUAAUAUUAUAUUGUUUCAUAUUUUAAAAGUAUAUGAGGUGAUUAAUUGGAGGGCAAAUCAAGUGCCAGCA
rnacentral:rRNA from 1 species